rnacentral:rRNA from 1 species
CCUACGGGUGGCAGCAGUGGGGAAUAUUGCGCAAUGGGCGAAAGCCUGACGCAGCGACGCCGCGUGAGGGAUGAAGGUCUUCGGAUCGUAAACCUCUGUCAGCAGGGAAGAACGGUCACUGUGCUAAUCAGCAGUGAAUUGACGGUACCUGCAAAGGAAGCACCGGCUAACUCCGUGCCAGCCGCCUCGUUAAUACGGAGGGUGCGAGCUUUAAUCGGAAUUGCUGGGCGUAAAGCGCUCGUAGGCUGGAUGUCCAGUCAAGGGUGAAAUCCCCGCGCUCAACGUGGGAACUGCCUUUGAAACUGGCAAACUGGAGUGUGUGAGAGGAUAGUGGAAUUCCAGGUGUAGGAGUGAAAUCCGUAGAUAUCUGGAGGAACAUCAGUGGCGAAGGCGACUAUCUGGCACAUAACUGACGCUGAGGAGCGAAAGCGUGGGUAGCAAACAGGAUUAGAUACCCGAGUAGUC